GGCUCCACCCAGUUGGAGCUUCCUGGCUGCUUUGUUUACCUUAGCAAGCCUGGGCAAUGGCGGGCGCCCCUCCCCCAGCCUCGCUGCCGCCUUGCAGUUUGAUCUCAGACUGCUGUGCUAGCAAUCAGCAAGACUCCGUGGGCGUAGGACCCUCCAAGCCAGGUGCGAUAUAAUGUCGUGGUGCGCCGUUUUUUAAGCUGGUUGGAAAAGCGCAGUAUUCGCGUGGGAGUGACCCGAUUUUCCAGGUGCGUCCGUCACCCCUUUCUUUGACUAGGAAAGGGAACUCCCUGACCCCUUGCACUUCCCAAGUGAGGCAAUGCCUCGCCCUGCUUCGGCUCGCGCACGGUGCGCGCACCCACUGACCUGUGCCCACUGUCUGGCACUUCCUAGUGAGAUGAACCCGGUACCUCAGAUUGAAAUGCAGAAAUCACCCGUCUUCUGCGUCGCUCACGCUGGGAGCUGUAGACCGGAGCUGUUCCUAUUCGGCCAUCUUGGCUCCUCCCUCAGGAGUGAAAUACAUCACCGCUUUCCCUGCUCCCGCCGCCAUUAAAAUUGUGUUUGGCAUCUGACCACCAAGAUACAGAUAUUUCCUAGACUGUUUUGCAGCUAGGUACUUAGAUAGUAAUGAAGAUAGGGGCCACCAUUCCCUGUGAAAAUCAAGUGGGAAAGUCCUGAGUCCUUUAAUGACUUUACAGAGGACAGAAUAAACUCCUAUCAUAUUCAUGCA
rnacentral:lncRNA from 1 species